rnacentral:rRNA from 1 species
UACGAAGGUGGCAAGCGUUGUUCGGAUUUACUGGGCGUACAGGGAGCGUAGGCGGUUGGAUAAGCCCUCCGUGAAAUCUCCAGGCUUAACCUGGAAAGUGCAGAGGGGACUGUUCAGCUAGAGGAUGGGAGAGGAGCGCGGAAUUCCCGGUGUAGCGGUGAAAUGCGUAGAGAUCGGGAGGAACACCGACGGCGUAGGCAGCGCCCUAGACGAGACCUGACGCUCAGGCACGAAAGCGCGGGGAGCGAACAGGA